AGAAGGCCUUCGGGUUGUAAAGCUCUGUCGGAAGGGACAAAAACGUUUAGGGUUUAAUAGCCUUAGAUCUUGAUGGUACCUUUAAAGGAAGCACCGGCUAACUUCGUGC
rnacentral:rRNA from 1 species